GCCUACGACCAUAUCACCCUGAAUGCGCCCGAUCUCGUCUGAUCUCGGAAGCUAAGCAUGGUCGAGCCUGGUUAGCACUUGGAUGGGAGACUGCCUGGGAAUACCAGGUGUUGUAGGCU
rnacentral:rRNA from 1 species